ACGAGAAACACCCCAAAUUGGUGGGGUGUGAGCCGUGAGGGGUUCUCGUCUGUAGUGGACGAGGGUCGGGUGCACAACAACAGGCAAUCGCCAGACACACUAUUGGGCCCUGAGACAACACUCGGCCGGCUUGGUCGAAGUGGUGUCCCUCCGUCUUGGUGGCGGGGUGUGGUGUUUGAGUAU
rnacentral:misc_RNA from 1 species